AGCGCUUAAGAAACUGCAAAACAACAAAAUAAAUCAUUCAGUUUGAAGCUUUACCCAGAAAAUUAACCUAAACAUCCAAAAAGCAUGUCAAAGUUAAUCUAAAACAGGAACAGAUCAAAUCCCACAUAAUCUGGGAUGAGACAAAUUGAAAAAAAAAAGAGUUUUUUAAACUGAUAAAAAAUUCUUCAUAAGAGGUUCAUGAAAGAACAACAUCAUAUGCACAGUAAGAGAUUUCUUCUCAAAAAGUCAAAACCACAACAACAACAAAAAAACCAACUUUUUCUAUAAAAAAAGCCUAAAGAACAACAGCAUAUGCACAACAAGAAAUUUCUUCUAAAAACCUAGAACACACAUCAAGAAUAACAUAGCAAUAUUUCAUAAAAAGAACCCUUUUCCAGCACCGUUACUCUGCAGAAAUAGAAGCAAAAACAUCACUAAAGCUCUAAUCUUUCUUUUGAAGUUUGUUGAAAUUUCAUACUGAAACUCAACAAACUUGAGCUAAGCUGUGACUUACCCCAAAACCAUUACCCUAGCAGAGAUAACAUCAAGGGAACUGAUGACAACUAGAAACAGGAAAGGAGUGGAUAAAAGAGAUUUAGAGGACAGAGAGAGAGAGAGAGAGACGACACACCUUGAAGUCGAAUUUCUUCAAAGGUACUCUUGCCAGAAAUUUCAUCUUUGGUCGAGUCUUUACUCAUUGUUUUCUGUUGUUGUUGAUUUCUUGUUUUAUUAACAAUAUCGUACACUUGCUCAUUUAUUUCCCCAUUUCAUUGGCUUGUUUGUGGAUCGGUUAGGAGAAGGUUCUUUGUGUUAGAAUGCAUAAUUCUUUUUCCGAUCUGUUAGAUUUGUGGUUAUCUUUUGUCGUUUUGAGGGUAGAUGCGGAUCUGAUGUGUGUAUUUUGAAGAGAGUUUUUGGUUCUCAUGAUGAAAGGAGAGAAGGGAAAGGUAUUGGAAGGCAUAAUUUUUUUUGAUAUGGAGGUGGGAAAGAAAGCUCAGUCGAGCUUGAUUGAGAGAGGAGAUAAAAAGAUAAAAGAUAUGAUCGUUAAAGUCAUAUUCAUGAUUAGAUUUAAAUGUUUAUUAAAAUCAAUGAAAUUCUCCUUUUCCUCACUGGCAU
rnacentral:lncRNA from 1 species